GCUUAAAAAAAAAAAUCGCAGUUUUCUUGCGAUUUUCGAAACUCUUUAUGUACAGCAUAUACAUAAUAAUAGCAAGCUAUUUCUCAGUACUGUGUCUCACUGGUACAUUGCGGUUUGCUGAUUCAGCUUUCAGGCAACGUGCUGUUUUAUGUUUGUUUGCUAAUAACAGUAUUUCUAUAAAUUACAAAACGUCUAGGUUGUGUUUUAGUAGUGAUUGCUUCUACGUAAGGUUCGGUUUUGUAUAUACAGUAUAUAUAAUUGGAUACUCCUCUUUCAAUUUAUGAUGUUUAUUCGAAACUUAUUUUUUUUUUUUUUUAAUUAAUAAUAAAGUUUCGAAUAAACAUCAUAAAUUGAAAGAGGAGUAUCCAAUUAUAUAUACUGUAUAUACAAAACCGAACCUUACGUAGAAGCAAUCACUACUAAAACACAACCUAGACGUUUUGUAAUUUAUAGAAAUACUGUUAUUAGCAAACAAACAUAAAACAGCACGUUGCCUGAAAGCUGAAUCAGCAAACCGCAAUGUACCAGUGAGACACAGUACUGAGAAAUAGCUUGCUAUUAUUAUGUAUAUGCUGUACAUAAAGAGUUUCGAAAAUCGCAAGAAAACUGCGAU
rnacentral:lncRNA from 1 species